CAGGUUUACCUGUGUGACUGCGUACCUUUUGUAUAAUGGGUCAGCGACUUAUAUUCUGUAGCAAGGUUAACCGAAUAGGGGAGCCGGAGGGAAACCGAGUCUUAAUUGGGCGUUAAGUUGCAGGGUAUAGACCCGAAACCCGGUGAUCUAGCCAUGGGCAGGUUGAAGGUUGGGUAACACUAACUGGAGGACCGAACCGACUAAUGUUGAAAAAUUAGCGGAUGACCUGUGGCUGGGGGUGAAAGGCCAAUCAAACCGGGAGAUAGCUGGUUCUCCCCGAAAGCUAUUUAGGUAGCGCCUCGUGAAUUCAUCUCCGGGGGUAGAGCACUGUUUCGGCUAGGGGGCCAUCCCGGCUUACCAACCCGAUGCAAACUGCGAAUACCGGAGAAUGUUAUCACGGGAGACACACGGCGGGUGCUAACGUCCGUCGUGAAGAGGGAAACAACCCAGACCGCCAGCUAAGGUCCCAAAGUCAUGGUUAAGUGGGAAACGAUGUGGGAAGGCCCAGACAGCCAGGAUGUUGGCUUAGAAGCAGCCAUCAUUUAAAGAAAGCGUAAUAGCUCACUGGUCGAGUCGGCCUGCGCGGAAGAUGUAACGGGGCUAAACCAUGCACCGAAGCUGCGGCAG
rnacentral:rRNA from 1 species